UGCGCCUUGCCAGCCCGCUCAGAAACUUAAAGGAAUUUGACGGGGGCCCGCACAAGCGGUGGAGCAUGUGGUUUAAUUCGACGAUACGCGAAGAACCUUACCCGGGUUUGACAUUGUAUCGAAGCAUCCAGAGAUGGAUGUGUCUCUUCGGAGACGGUAUGACAGGUGCUGCAUGGCUGUCGUCAGCUCGUGCCGUGAGGUGUUGGGUUAAGUCCCGCAACGAGCGCAACCCUUGCCUUUAGUUGCCAGCAGUUCGGCUGGGCACUCUAAAGGGACUGCCGGUGUUAAACCGGAGGAAGGUGGGGAUGACGUCAAGUCCUCAUGGCCUUUAUGACCAGGGCUACACACGUACUACAAUGGCCGGUACAAAGGGUUGCCAAGCCGCGAGGUGGAGCUAAUCCCAUAAAACCGAUCGUAGUCCGGAUCGCAGUCUGCAACUCGACUGCGUGAAGUCGGAAUCGCUAGUAAUCGUGAAUCAGAAUGUCACGGUGAAUACGUUCCCGGGCCUU
rnacentral:rRNA from 1 species